UACGUAGGGUGCAAGCGUUGUCCGGAAUUAUUGGGCGUAAAGAGCUCGUAGGCGGUCUGUUGCGUCGGCUGUGAAAACCCGGGGCUCAACUCCGGGCCUGCAGCUGAUACGGGCAGACUAGAGUUCGGCAGGGGAGACUGGAAUUCCUGGUGUAGCGGUGAAAUGCGCAGAUAUCAGGAGGAACACCGGUGGCGAAGGCGGGUCUCUGGGCCGAUACUGACGCUGAGGAGCGAAAGCGUGGGGAGCGAACAGG
rnacentral:rRNA from 1 species